AGUCGAACGAACUCUGGUAUUGAUUGGUGCUUGCAUCAUGAUUUACAUUUGAGUGAGUGGCGAACUGGUGAGUAACACGUGGGAAACCUGCCCAGAAGCGGGGGAUAACACCUGGAAACAGAUGCUAAUACCGCAUAACAACUUGGACCGCAUGGUCCGAGCUUGAAAGAUGGCUUCGGCUAUCACUUUUGGAUGGUCCCGCGGCGUAUUAGCUAGAUGGUGGGGUAACGGCUCACCAUGGCAAUGAUACGUAGCCGACCUGAGAGGGUAAUCGGCCACAUUGGGACUGAGACACGGCCCAAACUCCUACGGGAGGCAGCAGUAGGGAAUCUUCCACAAUGGACGAAAGUCUGAUGGAGCAACGCCGCGUGAGUGAAGAAGGGUUUCGGCUCGUAAAACUCUGUUGUUAAAGAAGAACAUAUCUGAGAGUAACUGUUCAGGUAUUGACGGUAUUUAACCAGAAAGCCACGGCUAACUACGUGCCAGCAGCCGCGGUAAUACGUAGGUGGCAAGCGUUGUCCGGAUUUAUUGGGCGUAAAGCGAGCGCAGGCGGUUUUUUAAGUCUGAUGUGAAAGCCUUCGGCUCAACCGAAGAAGUGCAUCGGAAACUGGGAAACUUGAGUGCAGAAGAGGACAGUGGAACUCCAUGUGUAGCGGUGAAAUGCGUAGAUAUAUGGAAGAACACCAGUGGCGAAGGCGGCUGUCUGGUCUGUAACUGACGCUGAGGCUCGAAAGUAUGGGUAGCAAACAGGAUUAGAUACCCUGGUAGUCCAUACCGUAAACGAUGAAUGCUAAGUGUUGGAGGGUUUCCGCCCUUCAGUGCUGCAGCUAACGCAUUAAGCAUUCCGCCUGGGGAGUACGGCCGCAAGGCUGAAACUCAAAGGAAUUGACGGGGGCCCGCACAAGCGGUGGAGCAUGUGGUUUAAUUCGAAGCUACGCGAAGAACCUUACCAGGUCUUGACAUACUAUGCAAAUCUAAGAGAUUAGACGUUCCCUUCGGGGACAUGGAUACAGGUGGUGCAUGGUUGUCGUCAGCUCGUGUCGUGAGAUGUUGGGUUAAGUCCCGCAACGAGCGCAACCCUUAUUAUCAGUUGCCAGCAUUAAGUUGGGCACUCUGGUGAGACUGCCGGUGACAAACCGGAGGAAGGUGGGGAUGACGUCAAAUCAUCAUGCCCCUUAUGACCUGGGCUACACACGUGCUACAAUGGAUGGUACAACGAGUUGCGAACUCGCGAGAGUAAGCUAAUCUCUUAAAGCCAUUCUCAGUUCGGAUUGUAGGCUGCAACUCGCCUACAUGAAGUCGGAAUCGCUAGUAAUCGCGGAUCAGCAUGCCGCGGUGAAUACGUUCCCGGGCCUUGUACACACCGCCCGUCACACCAUGAGAGUUUGUAACACCCAAAGUCGGUGGGGUAACCUUUUAGGAACCAG
rnacentral:rRNA from 1 species